rnacentral:rRNA from 1 species
GGUGAACGCUGGCGGCGUGCCUAAGACAUGCAAGUCGAGCGGGGCAGGUUUAUACCUGUUCAGCGGCGGACGGGUGAGUAACGCGUGGGUGACCUACCCGGAAGAGGCGGACAACCUGGGGAAACCCAGGCUAAUCCGCCAUUUGGUCCUGUCCUGUGGGGCAGGACGAAAGGGUGGAUAGCCCGCUUCCGGAUGGGCCGGGGCCCCAUCAGCUAGUUGGUGGGGUAAAGGCCCAGCAAGGCGACGACGGGUAGCCGGUCUGAGAGUAUGGGCGGCUACAGGGGCACUGAGGCACGGGGACCACGCCCAGAGGAGGCAGCAGGUAAGCAUCGUCCGAAAUGGGCGAAAGGCUGAAGGCGCGACGCCGCUUGGAGGAGGAAGGGCUUCGGGGUGUAAACUCCUGAACUGGGGACGAAAGCCACGUGUAGGGGGAGGACGGUACCCAGGUAAUAGCGCCGGCCAACUACGUG